rnacentral:pre_miRNA from 1 species
GCCGGGAAGUGGAAGAAAAGAGGGCAUAAGAGCAGUGGGAGUGGGAACAUGGAGGAAAACCUAACUUGCUUUUCUUUCACCUCUUGUGUUGGAGGUGGGACUUGCUUUGGUGUUUUCCAAUGCCUCCCAUUCCUAUUGUUCUCAAGCACUCCUUCCUCUUCCUUUUUGGG